AAGUUUAGGUUACAUAGACCAAGAGCCUUCAAAGCC
rnacentral:tRNA from 9 species